CAGUCGCCACGGUAAUCCGUAGGGUGCGAGCGUUAAUCGGAAUUACUGGGCGUAAAGCGUGCGCAGGCGGUUGUGUAAGACAGGUGUGAAAUCCCCGGGCUUAACCUGGGAACUGCGCUUGUGACUGCACAGCUAGAGUAUGGCAGAGGGGGGUGGAAUUCCACGUGUAGCAGUGAAAUGCGUAGAGAUGUGGAGGAACACCGAUGGCGAAGGCAGCCCCCUGGGCCAAUACUGACGCUCAUGCACGAAAGCGUGGGGAGCAAACAGGAUUAGAUACCCGCGUAGUCCCUGUCUCUUAUAA
rnacentral:rRNA from 1 species